AUGUUGGGUGAAAAUGCCUGCCUAAGUAGCAGUGCUUUUGCUGUGCCCUACUUUUAUCUAGCCUCAUCUUGGUUGCCCUUCCCCUCUCUCUUCAUUGUUAGCAUUUUUCUAAGGAGCACAAGCAGCACCUGUGUUUGGUGCGUGCCAACACCUUUGCAUACAGUUACACAUGGGCAGUUCCACGGAGAGCAAGAGGAUCAGCUUUUAGUUUGCAAGAGUCUGAAUAGAGAUAAGUUGCAGAACAGGCUCCCUGCACUUUGUGUUCUUCAUAGACCAGAACUUCAGUUCUUCUUGCUGUGGAAAAAAAUGUCAAAGGCCUUUUGCUCUCUUCCAGCGAGAGGUGUAUCUGCUGGUUUGCCCACCAUUACUUCCGUGGCUGGAGGCUCCCAUGCUGUGGUACCCGUAUCAUGCAGGCCACCAAUACCACUUUUUGAAGACUGCAACUGCCGUGCCACCUCGGUAGAAUUCCAUGAACAAUACCUUAGUUCCUGAGUGGCUUCCAGAAGAAUCGUUCGUACCUUAUUUUCUUAGGGUAGUACUGGAUAUUUUUGUUACUUCCAAAGAUUCAGAUGGCUGUUCAAGUUAAAAGACCUUGAUCAAAAUUCAGUACUGUGCACACCAG
rnacentral:lncRNA from 1 species